rnacentral:rRNA from 1 species
CCUACGGGAGGCAGCAGUGGGGAAUAUUGGACAAUGGGGGGAACCCUGAUCCAGCGACGCCGCGUGAGUGAAGAAGUAUUUCGGUAUGUAAAGCUCUAUCAGCAGGGAAGAAAGAAAUGACGGUACCUGACUAAGAAGCCCCGGCUAACUACGUGCCAGCAGCCGCGGUAAUACGUAGGGGGCAAGCGUUAUCCGGAUUUACUGGGCGUAAAGGGUGCGUAGGCGGCGUGGCAAGUCUGAAGUGAAAGGCGGAGGCCCAACCCCGGAACUGCUUUGGAAACUGUAUGACUGGAGUGCAGGAGAGGUAAGUGGAAUUCCUAGUGUAGCGGUGGAAUGCGUAGAUAUUAGGAGGAACACCAGUGGCGAAGGCGGCUUGCUGGACUGUAACUGACGUUGAGGCACGAAAGCGUGGGGAGCAAACAGGAUUAGAUACCCGUGUAGUC